UGUUCCAUUCCGCCAUACGAGACUUUGGUACCAAUUUCUUUAUACCAUGGAAGUGCUUCCACUCUCUCUAAGCCAAGUUGUAGCAUUUUCUUUAUCAAUUCAUCAAAACAAAGGCACUGGAAUCAGAUACUAUUCACCGGCACUCCGUAGAUAAACCACAACAUCAAAUCAAUGUUGCCUCAGAUCAUCUGUAAUUGUUGGAUUGUGAUCGAUUUUUGGAGCAAUUAAAGCUUCCAAAGCAUCCUAGACAUGAGGAACAAGGGAACAUUUUUCAAGCCUCUGCUUUUCAUUCAAAAGAUGUCCAGGGGAAGCCUGAUGGUGGUUCAACAAGAAGAUGUGUACAGGUUUAGGUUCACAAGCAGGGGACUGCUGUAGGGAGGUCUCUAGACCCAACAAAGUUUAAUGGCUACAAUGAAUUGACAACAAAAUUGGAUCAGAUUCUUGAAUUCAAUGGUAAAUUAGCUGCUCCUAACAAAGAUAGGCUGAUUGUUUCUAUUAAUGAUGAGGGUGAUAUGAUACUUGUCGGAGAUUAUCCCUGGCUGUAAGAACUCAAACCCUAGGUCCUAUUUUUCUGUUUGAACACAAAUUGAUCGGCAAAUCUCAUUCACUCUCUUUGUCCUUGAAUGAUAUAAGACUUUAGUACCAACUGCUUUGCUCUGUCCUUAAAUGAUACAAGGCAAGUUGUAAAAUCGUUAUUCAGAUGCAAGACUGUAUCUCAUCUUAAUUCCUCCCU